rnacentral:rRNA from 1 species
AGAGUUUGAUCCUGGCUCAGGACGAACGCUGGCGGCGUGCCUAAUACAUGCAAGUAGAACGCUGAAGAGAGGAGCUUGCUCUUCUUGGAUGAGUUGCGAACGGGUGAGUAACGCGUAGGUAACCUGCCUUGUAGCGGGGGAUAACUAUUGGAAACGAUAGCUAAUACCGCAUAACAAUGGAUGACACAUGUCAUUUAUUUGAAAGGGGCAAUUGCUCCACUACAAGAUGGACCUGCGUUGUAUUAGCUAGUAGGUGAGGUAAUGGCUCACCUAGGCGACGAUACAUAGCCGACCUGAGAGGGUGAUCGGCCACACUGGGACUGAGACACGGCCCAGACUCCUACGGGAGGCAGCAGUAGGGAAUCUUCGGCAAUGGGGGCAACCCUGACCGAGCAACGCCGCGUGAGUGAAGAAGGUUUUCGGAUCGUAAAGCUCUGUUGUAAGUCAAGAACGGGUGUGAGAGUGGAAAGUUCACACUGUGACGGUAGCUUACCAGAAAGGGACGGCUAACUACGUGCCAGCAGCCGCGGUAAUACGUAGGUCCCGAGCGUUGUCCGGAUUUAUUGGGCGUAAAGCGAGCGCAGGCGGUUUGAUAAGUCUGAAGUUAAAGGCUGUGGCUCAACCAUAGUUCGCUUUGGAAACCGUCAAACUUGAGUGCAGAAGGGGAGAGUGGAAUUCCAUGUGUAGCGGUGAAAUGCGUAGAUAUAUGGAGGAACACCGGUGGCGAAAGCGGCUCUCUGGUCUGUAACUGACGCUGAGGCUCGAAAGCGUGGGGAGCGAACGGGAUUAGAUACCCUGGUAGUCCACGCCGUAAACGAUGAGUGCUAGGUGUUGGAUCCUUUCCGGGAUUCAGUGCCGCAGCUAACGCAUUAAGCACUCCGCCUGGGGAGUACGACCGCAAGGUUGAAACUCAAAGGAAUUGACGGGGGCCCGCACAAGCGGUGGAGCAUGUGGUUUAAUUCGAAGCAACGCGAAGAACCUUACCAGGUCUUGACAUCCCGAUGCUAUUUCUAGAGAUAGAAAGUUACUUCGGUACAUCGGUGACAGGUGGUGCAUGGUUGUCGUCAGCUCGUGUCGUGAGAUGUUGGGUUAAGUCCCGCAACGAGCGCAACCCCUAUUGUUAGUUGCCAUCAUUCAGUUGGGCACUCUAGCGAGACUGCCGGUAAUAAACCGGAGGAAGGUGGGGAUGACGUCAAAUCAUCAUGCCCCUUAUGACCUGGGCUACACACGUGCUACAAUGGUUGGUACAACGAGUUGCGAGUCGGUGACGGCGAGCUAAUCUCUUAAAGCCAAUCUCAGUUCGGAUUGUAGGCUGCAACUCGCCUACAUGAAGUCGGAAUCGCUAGUAAUCGCGGAUCAGCACGCCGCGGUGAAUACGUUCCCGGGCCUUGUACACACCGCCCGUCACACCACGAGAGUUUGUAACACCCGAAGUCGGUGAGGUAACCUUUUGGAGCCAGCCGCCUAAGGUGGGACAGAUGAUUGGGGUGAAGUCGUAACAAGGUA